GACGUAGGGGGCCAGCGUUGUUCGGAAUUACUGGGUGUAAAGGGUUCGUAGGCGGUGCGGCAAGUUGGGAGUGAAAUCUCUGGGCUUAACCCAGAGGCUGCUUCCAAAACUGCUGUGCUUGAGUGUGGGAGAGGCGCGUGGAAUUGCAGGUGUAGCGGUGAAAUGCGUAGAUAUCUGCAGGAACACCCGUGGCGAAAGCGGCGCGCUGGACCGGUAUUGACGCUGAGGCGCGAAAGCUAGGGUAGCAAACGGG
rnacentral:rRNA from 1 species